AAAAUCAAUAAAACUACAAAGAAAUUUCUUUUGGCCAGAGGUAGCGGCGGUGUGUACGUGGAAUGGCAUUUCUAUUUUGGACGAUGAUUUGCUUUUGAUGAUGCGCACGAACAGGAACGGAACCGACCAGAAGAAAGAAGAGAGCUGAACCACAGACCAGCAGGGAGCAGGGAGCAGUGGGGGAACAGCAGAUAUAUCGACAGGUAAAGUCAAAAAGUAGCACAGCAAUUGGCACAGAAUUGAAAAUAAUUUGCAUUUAAUGCGGCAUUCGCCGCGUAGGCUCCAAUACGAACGAAGGUUUCUGCCCCAAUCCGAAGCUGAAGCCGAAAGAGCCACAGAUCUUAGAGGGUUGGCCGACUUGGGCAUUAUGCACUAAUGUCGGUCCAAGUUCAAAUCAUUAGGCGCAUACUCGUAGUAGUUUUCUCCUGUGUGUCUGCUGCUGAACCAAAAUCGAGGUACGGUCCCGGUCCCUGUCCCGGUCCCAGUCCUCGUUCCUGUCUGGGGCAAUUUGCAGAGUGCGCUGUCACGAUUAAUAAC
rnacentral:lncRNA from 1 species